UACAGAGGUGGCAAGCGUUGUUCGGAAUUACUGGGCGUAAAGGGCGCGUAGGUGGCCUUCUUAGUCAGACGUGAAAUCCCCAGGCUUAACCUGGGAACUGCGUCUGAUACUGGAAGGCUUGAGUUCGGGAGAGGAAUGUGGAAUUCCAGGUGUAGCGGUGAAAUGCGUAGAUAUCUGGAGGAACACCGGUGGCGAAGGCGGCAUUCUGGACCGACAUUGACGCUGAGGAGCGAAAGCUAGGGGAGCAAACGGG
rnacentral:rRNA from 1 species